GAAAAGAAAAAAAAAAUCCCUCACCAAAGCGCUGUCCCUUUUUACCGGCACUGAGCGGAAUAAAGUACUUUUUUUUUUUUCUUUUUUAGUCUUCACAGGCAAUCCUCCUCUCGGCUUCACGCUGGUGAAAACAAAGGAUAAAGGAUUCUUGAAUGGACGAACACGGGUUGGCGCGCAGAUUUCUUGAGAGAUCGGUGGUUAUGAUCCAGUGCAUUUGACCCCAGCAGGAACCAACAGUCUACGAGUGGUGUCGGGCCCUGGGAUCUAGAUGACACUUGGCAAGCCGCAGAAGCCGCGAGACAACUGGAUGAAAUAUUUAAAUGAAAGACGGCAGGGGUAGAGGAGGUGAGGAAAGCGAGGGGGAGAAAAGAGGGAGAGAAAGGAAUACAGGACAGAGGACGAGGGGAAGGAGAGAGAAUGACGAUAUUCAGACGGUGAGCAAUAUGUGAAGGAUUUCUCUUCUUGGCAAAGAGGGGGCCAUGUGACAAGAAGCGCAGAUGAAUUGGCUUUCACCUCCAAAGUAGCCUGUGGAGGAAUAAACCAAUAUAGUAUGAGAUCACAUCGCUUUGUCUGCGAAUCCCCUGCAAGUGUCAGUGUGAGUAUGAGUACGUUCAGCACUGUGCCAGCUCAGAUGCUUAGAGGAGAGCAAUGAAUCUAAAACAUAACCACAUGACAUGCAGCUUUAUUAAAGUGAUUCGGUGACCUCAGAAUUAUAAGGUUCGAUCUGACUUUUAUGACUUUCGUCCGACUAUAUGCUAAUGCUACGCCAAGCACGGCGACAUGCUCAAUGACAAUGCUAACAUGCUGAUGUUUAGCAGGUAUAAUCAUAGUUUAAUGUGUCAGCGUGCGAACACUUGAGCAUUUAGGGGGAUUCACAGGCAGUAUUGGAAUACAAUACUGUUAUUGUAUGAUGACCUUAAAUCAAGAACUGUUGUGUUUCGCUCUAGAAGUAACCCUGAAUAGAAUUUAUAUCUACAGAGGGAGCGAGUCCUCUUCCACAGAGUCCGCCAUCAUGCACCGCAUGUUUCUACAGUAGCCGAGAACGAACAAACCAGGAAAUGGUUCGAGCAAGAGCCGUUCCUGUUUUUCUUGUUUUGUUUUUUAUUUUUUUUUUAGCAUUUUUGGAGGCCACCGUGGGGACUGGGGGCACACAGAAAGAUGUCAAAGUCAUUUGAUGACUUUUGUGAUUUUUUUUAUUUGCUUGUCAUUCAUUUAUUUUAAAUGUGUAGUGGGGUAUGUGUUAGUGAUUAAUUGAUUAUCUGGGCCUACAUUCAGAAUUUUCUGGUUGGUAGACAGUUUUUUUUUUUUUUUUAUGUGUCAGAGUUCAGGUUAAAUACAUGGAUUUAAAAAUGAACUAUAAUGUCACAGAUGCAGCAUCCUUUCUCUGUCUGUAGUCAUCACUCUGUGGUCUCUGUCAAUGUUCUGCCCACAACCCUAUCUAAUGGUUACUCCCGUAUCACAAGUAUAGCCUUCAACACUGACUAAUCUGAGUCUGCAAAGUAACUAAAGUUUUUAGAUAGAUGCAGAGGUAGCUCUCAAGACGAUAUACUCAAGUACCUUAAAUACCAAAUUGUACUUAAGUACAUUAAACAGGUAAAUUACUAGUUACAUCCUUUUGCUGAUUAUUCUAGAUUUUGAGCUCCAAAUUAUAAUCGAUACAUCGAUUUUAUGUUAUAGGAUGAAUGUGACUGCACUGUUAAAGUUAUUUAUUGCGAAGCAGUGUUAGUAUUGGUAAGUUUUAUCUGCACACUAAAACAGUAUUUUUGACCAAAUUCGAGAUGUGGGAGGUUUUUGUCCUUCUUUGAUAAUCUGCCAUUUUUACCCUAAGAUAAGAAAACUAAUAUCUUCAAACCAGGGCUGCAGAUAAAACUUCAUAAUUCAAUGUCUUGCUCCAGUUCUGUGUCCCGUGCAACACAUAUGAUAUAAUAAAGAAGCCCUUCUUUGUUUAUCUUCACGUGCAUUGCCUCUUCAAUUCAUUCAGUUGUCCACCUGCUGUAUA